UCUAGAAUAAGUUAUGAUUUUUCGAAGUUGAGGGUCUGCAUCAGAAAAUUCUUCAAUUGUCACUAUGUUCUGUUUGUUUCAUUUGAUUUCAAUAGUUUCCUUUAUUCAAACUUGUUCACAAACUGAACGUAGACAUUCCUAACUUUCCAACAAAAUUUAUGACACCAUUUUCAGACUUUACUUCAGAUAGUUAUGUCAUUGUGAAAUUGGCUUAGCCAUAUCUGUUUUCUGUCACAACAAAUCUGUAAGGCAUUUUGGUUAGUUAUUUAGCACUUCAAAUAAAAUCCAAAUGGCCUGAGAUUUUAGGUACUAUUUUCUUAAGACAUAAGCUCUAUAGUGAAGUUCCAGAAUGAAAGGGAAAAGAUGUUGUUGCAGUCCUUUUAUAUCAUUAGAAUCUCUUAUAAAACUGGAACUUCGCUAUUGCAGAUUAACAUUAUUGAAACCCCUGAUCACGUUCUUGAUGGAGCCAUCUUUGUCAUUUGUAGCGUUGGUGGUGUACGGAUCAGUAAGCAUUGGUGGUGUACAGAUCAGUCAGUCAAUUACUGUUGAUAGGCAAAUGAAAAAAUACGAGGUUCCAAGAAUUGCAUUUACAAACAAACUUGAUUGAAUAGGAGCAGAUCAAUGGAAAGUUCUGAAUCAGAAGAACUACAUGCCGAAUAGGAAGUUCAUGGUUCCUGAAUAGCAAUUGCAAUGCGGAAGGAAAUUUCAUGCGACUGAACAACAAUUGCAAAGCAAGUUGUAAUAUAUUGGGCCUGAACAGCAGGGCAGAAUGACAGCUUAAGAAUCUCAUGUUAUUACAAUACCAAUUGAAUUGCAGAUGAGAUAUAUGUAGCUUACCUGCGAGAUCAAAAAAUUGUUAGUCAUGUUCGAUUUGAAUAGAAUUAGUAGUAGUUUAUUAAAAAAUGUUGAACACUACAAUAUUCUUGUGAAUGUACCUUAUUGAAAAUUUUAAGAGUUUACUGCAGACAUGGGCUCUAUCUUUU